rnacentral:misc_RNA from 1 species
GAUGAGAACGUAGCGAAAUGCGAUAAGUAGUGUGAAUUGCAGAAUUCAGUGAAUCAUCGAAUCUUUGAACGCACAUUGCGGCCAUAGGUAUUCCUUUGGCCAUGCCUGUUCGAGCGUCAUUUACACCCUCAAGCCUAGCUUGGUGUUGGGCGUCUGUCCCGCCGUUCUCGCGCGCGGACUCGCCUCAAAGUCAUUGGCGGCGGUCGUGCCGGCCCCCUCGCGCAGCACAUUUGCGCUUCUCGGAGGCCCGGCGGAUCCGCGCUCCAGCAAGACCUUUCACGACUUGACCUCGGAUCAGGUAGGGAUACCCGCUGAACUUAAGCAUAUCAAUAAGCGGAGGA